GGCUCCUUGAUAACAACAAGAGGGCAGAAAGGACAGGACCGUCUGAGACACCCACUUCCUGGGACAAUCGGCCGGGGACCAUAUCCAGGUUCAGCAGCUGCACGGUUACUCCCCCUCAAAAUGUCCCGCCACUGUAACCCAUAGAAGCCCUCCCCUCGGAUGCCCUCCCUAGUGGCUUUCUCCUUAAGGAGCCCCUCCGGGGUGGCGAGAGUCUCUUUGUUUCGUCCUCGCCCUCAUAAACCUGGUGCCUGUGCUGCUCUUAACCUUGCUGAUCGGUUCCAUUUUUGAGAACACAAUCCCGGCUUUAAAAAACGGUUACAGCUUUGAAGGCUCCUUGGAGAUCUCCACGUCUUCUAACGAGGGCACUACAAGAAAACGAAAAUACCACACGGCGCAUACAAGGAGGACCUCUAUUUGAGCCCGGGCAUCCAGUUCUAGUUCAAUCUCUUCCUCCUCCUUCCCCCUCUCUUCGGCCUUCCUGAGAGGACCCCUGCCCGGUGAUCCUCUCCACCCCUUCUGCUGGUAAGAUUUCAGGAGAAGAUGCUUGGAUUCACCACAUUCGUCUAAAGUCCUGGCGAGCUCCAGACGAUCCUCAGAAGGAAGGAGACAAGGACAACUGUGAGCCUAUUGAAGACCUACAAUUCCUCUUCAAGAAGUGCAGAGAAGUGCUCCGCCCCUUAAACGUCUCAUAACAACACCAUGACCCCUAGGGCUUUAAUAUUUCUAUAUCUCACACUCUUAUGGUGCCGGCCGCCACGGGGAAUCCUCGAGUGGGUUCCAUUAAUUUCCGCUGCCUUUAUCUUAACUGACUGCUGGAUCUGUGGGAAGGAUUCUUUAGGCACAGUCGUCCCAGCCCCCACGUCUGUGUGGCUCUGAGCCAAUGACACUGUCACCCCCUUCAUCUCCUCUACCAGUCCUUUCUCCGGCGCUCACAUUGAAUGGCUGUUCUUCAAAGCCUGGAAGGAGGAUACGGAAACUAAAAGGAACAACACCCCUUGGUCCAGCGGUACCCUCACCCUCUCCCGGUUGGACCGACUCCACCUCAACGCCAGUGCCGUCUUCCCAGUCUGCUUUGAAAAUUCAACGUCCAUCCCACACACGGGUCUCUUCACAGGUAAUCUCCUCACAUCUCAACGUAAUCUCACAUCCCAAGUCACUAGAGCCUCUGCGGAAGGAGUCCUGGAACUCUUCCCUCUGUAGUUCUCUCAGUGCGUGUAAGAACACUGAUAAAUAUCACCUUCUCCUCGACGUUUCCUCCGAGCCCAGUAUCCCCCAAAGCGCACAACCUCCUGCACCGCAGGCAAUGUCCGUAUAGCCAGAAGGUCUGCCGUCUCUUAUAAUUCAGCAAAUUUAAGUCUGGCGUCCACACCACUCCUCUCGUCCCAAGAAUUCUUCCUCAAAACAUAUCCCUCCAGCUUCCUUGCAUCCACCAUACGGGAAAGACUCAGACACCUCCCUAAUUUGGAGCAGAUUGUCAGGGGGCCCCCCUGCAACAAGUAGACCCCAAGCCCUCUUUACUUAAAACUUCCACGUAAACCUCUGGGUGGAAGAGGGUUUGUUCUGUGGAACCAGGGAGUACAUCACGCUGCCGCCCUUAUGGAGAGGGCGGUGCUUCCUCACUUUCAUAGCUCCCCCAGCUGAUGAUGCGCCUGGUUCCAGCAGCAUGCCGCAGGUUCUAAAUGAUCCUUGACCAGGGUCCGAAGGGUGGCUAUUGCUCCCCUUCUGGUCUCUUUGUUCACUGGAUUGUCGGGAGCGUCUGGAACAGCCGUAGGAGGCACCUCCGUAGACCUCUCAGCACAACUGGCCAAGACAUUGAGGGAGACCAUCAAGGGGAUACAAACACCUGCGGAGCAGGUGAACUCCUUGGCAGGAGUCACACUUCAAAACCGACAGGCCUAUGGGGCGCCUGGGUGGCUCAGUCGGUUAAGCAUCUGACUUCGGCUCAGGUCAUGAUCUCGCGGUUCAUGGGUUUGAGCCCCGCAUCAGGCUCUGUGCUGACAGCUCAGAGGCUGGAGCCCGCUUCACAUUCUGUGUCUCCCUCUCUCUCUCCCUGUCCCUCGCUCAUGCUCGCUCUCUCUCUCAAAAAUGAAUAAACGUUAAAAAAAAUAAAAACAUUUUUAAAAAUAAAAAACCGACAGGCCUGAGACUUGCUAACCUCAAGUGCGGGGGGUGAUCCUGUGCCUUCCUUAAGGAAGAACGUUGUUUCUACAUCAAUAACGGGACAGAUGGCCACACGUCUCGAUUCCUCCAACGGUCUGGUCAUCUCCACAGAGGCUCUUUCCAAUUGGUGGGGCUCCCUAAGGGCUCAACUGUUGGCACUGGCUUUGGCCACUAAUGGCUCCCUUAUUAACCCCUUCCUUAAUGCCCCUCUUAGGACUUUAUAUUCUCAAUGCACUUACCUGGUUUGUUGCUUCUCACCCAGAGUCCUUUACACCUGCAAAUGGUCCUAUCAGUGUACCCAGCAAUGGAAGUGCCACUAGACCUUUACGGGGGGCCACGAGACAGACCCCACAGGGAGGGACUCUAGCUGCCACUCAUCUCCAUGCCCCAUCCCAGCAUGAAGAAGUCAGAGAGGUCACCACCCACAUACCCCAAGGGCAGUUGGGGUCACCUCCUCUAAGGGGGGACUGUGACAGGAGACAGACUGACCUUGGGCAGAUAGGGAUAAGUGGCCCCUUGUUAAUAGCAGAGCAGAAAGUACAGGACUGUCUGAGACACCCACUUCCUGGAACAAUCUGCCAGGGACCAUAUCCGUGUUCAUUAGCUGCACAGUCACACCUCAAAAGGUCCCACCACUGUAGCCCAUACAAGCCCUCCCUCUCCAACGCCUUAAGGAGCCUCCUCUUUAAGGAGCCCCUUCCAGGUCACAGGGGUCUCUUUGUUUCGCUCUCGUCCUAAUAAACUUGGUGCUUGUGCUGCUCUUAA